UCAUCACCUCGCCAAUACUUCCGGGAUAGCUUUUGUUUACGCGUCGCGGAUAAAAAAAAGCUCAAGCAGAGCUAAGUGCAAACUGCCGAUAUGGUCUGACUGAUUAUCAAAGCGAGCCUCUACGUGUUCAGGAAGAUCCGGGCGGCCAUUGCCAAGAGAGAGCAACUGGAAGAGCCCAUUGUGACGCCAUGUAGCGCUAUCGCUGAAAAGAGAGCGGCGCAAGCGCUGAGAGCGCCGCCGGAGGCCUUAAUGACGUCGGAAACCGGGGCGACCGUCGGCGGGGAAGCGGACUCCGGGACGCCCUCGACUGUGCAGAAAAAUGGCUCCUGAAGUUAAAUCAAGAAUCACACCGGUCAUUAAUAAACAGAAUUAGUCUUUUUUUAAUUUUUUGUCUGGCAGAAACAGAUGCUCACAACAAAGUAAUGCUAUUAGUCAUAUUGUUAAUUGAAUAUUCUUCAAAAACCACGCUGUGCUCUUGUUAAAGCGUUGGUUCAACCCUCUUCUGAAGUGUUGAUACUGUCUGAUGCAGCGUGUGAAGACAUGACUCUCCAACCUCUCCACAGAGGCUGAGCAGGUCGGAUGUGUUUUGCAUUGAUAAUAUCAAUAAAUGCGUGAAACUGUG